AGCAUGAGUAUCUGUCUCACAGAACCUAACAACACUCUGAAUGGGCUGAAAUGUGCUGCCUGCAGCGGUCAAGCGAACACAACCUGCAACUCUACUGUGUUCUGUGUGGGAAACCAAGAUCAGUGUGUGACCAGCAUUGUAUCAAACACAACUGUGAAGGGUUGCAUCUCUAAAAGUCUUUGUGGAGUUAACACAUAUAGUAAUGCCACUUGUUGCUCAGGAAACAUGUGUAAUGGGAGUGAAGCCUGGCUCAGACUGGACCUCAGCCAUUUACUGAUGGUCCUACUUGCUGUCAUUUUGCUGCAAUAGGCCACAUUAUGCCUUUUCACGCAAUCGAGCUGCUAAUGACGCUGAACAACUACCACACCACAGAUCUUCUCUGAGGCUACAGAAC